GCUGAGAAACAAACAAAAAGAAAGUACACUUGAAAAUGCAGUUGAGACCAACAACUAAGAGAAAACCACACAAAACCAUCUAAAAAAAAGAUAAUUGCAGUUUGCACUUUCCUUUGUACUUUUCAACUACCUACUCAGACUGCAGUUCAAACUUAUUCUUUUUGAAUGUCUGCUUUUGGAGACCCAGAUUCAUUCCCCCCUGCAUUUUCUGAGUAAAACUCUUCUUCUCAAGAGGGACAUUCCCUUUGGCAGAAUAGGGUAAGUAUAACACAAAUUGAAUUUUGCAUUCUAAUUGAGAUUAAGACUAAAAACUCAAGACACUGGAGAAGGUGGCAGUUUACUUCUGCCAUUAUUUUUUCAUCUUUUUUUAAAAUUAUUUUUUAAUUAGUUGGUAGUGUUUUGGGAAAUAGAAUUCCUAAUGUCAUAGUUACAGGUUGCCCAAGAAGGCUGUGGAUGCCCCAUCCCUGGAGGCAUUCAAGGCCAGGCUGGAUGUGGCUCUGGGCAGCCUGGUCUGCUGGUUGGCGACCCUGCACAUAGCAGGGGGUUGAAACUACAUGGUCAUUGUGGUCCUUUUCAACCCAGGCCAUUCUAUGAUUCUAUAGUUACAGAAAGAUUAACAGACUCAUUCUUCUAGUCUUCAAACUGUACGGCCACUACACCAGCUAUUCUAACAUAGAUGAAUUACUCAGAUUACAGUGUUCAAAUACUCCUCCUUCAUUUGCCCCACCAAUAAUAGAACAAUUUCAAUUAUCUGUCACAUCAUUCUACGACUUUGCUUUCCUUAGGAAUGAAACUAAUGAAGUGUCAAAAAGCAUGAUACAUUCAUACAAAAGUGGAUGCAAUGGAAGAAGUUUAAUAUAAGAGUUUAACUGUUGCUAUACUUUAAAUAUAUUGUUGUAUAUAUAUAUAUGUAUGAAUAUAUGUAUGUAUGAAUUGUGCAAGUUACUUAAAGGGUAGAAACUUAAGUGUAUGGAAUGGUUAUAAGAAGUUAUACAGAAUGGUUUAGAGAAGGAAUGCCCCGAGCACCACCCUUUACCAGUUCCAUUUGAAGAGAAAUUGCACUGUUCGCUUUCAUAUGGCGCACGAUCGCAGUAAGCUCCUCCAUAUGCUGCUUCAUAACCUGGAUCGUACUUUUCUUCCUUGACAGCCAUCUUUUUAGCAUCCUCUGCAGAGAGAGUAGACCUCAAGUAUUAAGAACAGAAAGUGUUCGAAGAACAUUUUUACUAGAGAAUAUGUGGAAAAAAAAACCCAACCAUACAUUUCAUAAGAUAACUCCAAUAAGCACUAUACCUUGUGCAAGCUGUAAGUCAAAUGUGUACUGCACUUCCUGCACCUCUGUGUUUGGUGCAAUGCCUUUCAGCUGAUCCCUUAAGUCUUUUAGCUUUAUGUAAUAAUGAACUUUAUCUUGCGCACGAGGGAACUGAGCACAUCUUGCACUGGAUGAUGGCAUAACGUAGCACAGCUUGAGAAAAAGAAAAAUACCAUUACUGAUCCCUAAUAUUUAGUGCAUCAAGAGUAACUGACAGUUAAGCUCACGUUACUGUUCUAAUUUUUUGCACAAACAUCCACUGAUACCAAAAGUAUUUCUAGAAGAGGAUAAAAGGAAUUCAUUUUUCCUGUCCAGCUAGCUGCCUUGCCCUAAAGAGAGGGGGUGAGUAUCAGCUGAUGAAACCAAGACAAUUCUCACCACUCGUUUACAUGCUGUAGGACAAGUGAUACAAAUAUGUGUUACAAUAAUUAUAAGCGUAAGCCAGAGAGGGAAGCACACUGCUGAACUCUGUGAACAAGUGGAGCUCACAGCCAGAAGGGCUGCAGAGCAUGUGAUAGUAUGCAAAAACCCAAAUCCAGCAAGAAAAGCAUCAAGAGUUAAUAAACAGCGUUGCUUCUUGGCCAAGCGUGCCUAUGUCACACAACUUAAAUGAAGCCAACUUAGUUGUUUCCAUUUCUGCUGGCAGCCCUAGCUGAAGGCUUGAAGUUAGUUCAGAAAAAAGGAAUCCCAACCAAUACAUUUACUACAGAGCACCAUUUAUGAACAAGUACUUGUAAAGAGGGUUAUUUAUUUAUUGUUCUUACAUUUCCUGCAGAAGUAUUUAAGAGCUACUUCAGAAGGAAGCAUUUUAUCACCACCACCUCUUCAGGUUCUGAUGGCAACACUCCACCAUUAGAGAGGAGCAGUUUAAACCACUUAAACUUGAAGCACUAAUAAUAUGGGAUGGAUAGAAAAACACCCCAAAAGUUUGAACUGAGCAGGUAACGAAGCUCUGGAAUAAGCUGCCUUGCCAGGUACUACAGUUGCCUUUGCUAUGAAGAACAGGUUAAACAAGCCUAUCUGUGAUGAUACAUAGCUGGCCUCUUGGAUACGUUCCAGCACUAGAUGCCCCUGAUAAACAAGUACCUUCCAGCUGUAGAUGCCUAUGAUUAGUGCACUCUUCAUCAAACUGUUGUACUUUAAGCAUCCAAUUUAAUUUCAAGCUGCAAAUCAGCUGAAGAUGACUGAGGCUGACUGAAGUGUUUGGGCAUGCUCAGAACAGGAACGCUGCAGUAUGUAAGCUCAAUCACGGACUUCCUAUUCUUUUUUCCCCAGCUGUGGCUCCCAGCAUUAAAAUUCAGUAAUAUUAGCAUACAAGUAACUGGCCACAGGUAAUCAGACGGAAGUAGAUGACAGUUACAAAUGCACAUGUGUUUUAUUCAUAUUUUCAAUACUCUUCAGAAAAAUGAACUAACCUACUAAUCACUAUACGCCAUUUCCAAAAUAACAUCUGCCAGUCUGAUUAAGCUGUAUAAAAGAUGUAAAAUCCUCCUUUCUCUAAUUAAGUAAAAGCCCUUCACAUUCCUUGUACUUUGCCAUUACUGUAAGUGGGCGUAAGCCCUAAGACUCCAGUAGUUUUGAAAUAACCAAAGAAGAGUGCUCUCAGUACUUACAGUUUCUGUCUCUGGUACCUUGUGGGGCUGCAAUCCAAAUUCCAAGUUCUUAACUCUUAUUCCAAAUACUUCUCUACUAAAAAUUUCAUAGAUACCUGAAAUGAGGGGACGGAAUGAGUGGACAAAAAAAGGCUACUAAUAGAACAAAUUCAUUCCAAAUUAAGAUUCUCACAUUUUCCAUUGAAAGCUGCUAUACGAGGUUUAUACUUCUGUAAUUUCUGCAUCAGAAUUCGCCCUCCUUCUCGAAACUCUUUACUGAAAGUAAAAAAAAAAAAGAAGAAAUAACUUGAAAUUAUAAUCGUAACCAUUUAUUCCUUAACAAGUAUGAUAUUCUACUGUGUUAUCCUGCCUGGAGAGGUCUUUGCUUCCAGGUGUUGUCCUUUCCACCAUAUUUGUAAAUCCAAUCCCAUAUUUAUGCGGUAAGGUGUGGUCAUCCAUAUGGUUCAGCUGUUCAUUACUUAGACCAGACAUGAAGAGACACUUCC